rnacentral:rRNA from 1 species
UACGGAGGGUGCAAGCGUUUAUCCGGAUUCACUGGGUUUAAAGGGAGCGUAGGCGGGUUGGUAAGUCAGUGGUGAAAUCUUCAAGCUUAACUUGGAACUGCCGUUGAUACUAUCAAUCUUGAAUAUUGUGGAGGUAAGCGGAAUAUGUCAUGUAGCGGUGAAAUGCUUAGAUAUGACAUAGAACACCGAUAGCGAAGGCAGCUUGCUACACAAUUAUUGACGCUGAGGCUCGAAAGCGUGGGGAUCAAACAGG